rnacentral:rRNA from 1 species
UACGUAGGGCGCAAGCGUUAUCCGGAAUUAUUGGGCAUAAAGAGCUCGUAGGCGGUUUGUCGCGUCUGCCGUGAAAGUCCGGGGCUCAACUCCGGAUCUGCGGUGGGUACGGGCAGACUAGAGUGAUGUAGGGGAGACUGGAAUUCCUGGUGUAGCGGUGAAAUGCGCAGAUAUCAGGAGGAACACCGAUGGCGAAGGCAGGUCUCUGGGCAUUAACUGACGCUGAGGAGCGAAAGCAUGGGGAGCGAACAGG